rnacentral:rRNA from 1 species
GGUAUUAAGGUAAGACCUGCCCAGUGAUUAAUAUUAAACGGCUGCAGUAUUUUAACUGUGCUAAGGUAGCAUAAUCAUUUGUUUUUUAAUUGGAAACUGGAAUGAAGGGUUUAACAAAAAGUAUUGUCUUUAUUAAUUUUAAGAAAUUGUAUUUUAAGUUAAAAUACAAAAAUAAGCUGGGGGGACGAUAAGACCCUAAAAGCUUUAUUUUAUUUAAAUAUUUAUAUUUCUAUUAAAUAAUUUUACUGGGGUAGUGACUUUUGAUAUAUCGAAGUUUGGUAAACAUUAAAGUGGGGUUAGUUCUUAUAUAUAAUAAAAAAUUGAUUAAGUUACUUUAGGGAUAACAGCGUAAUAAUUCAGGAAAGUCCAUAUUUAUGGAAUUGAUUGCGACCUCGAUGUUGAAUUAAAUAAUCUUAUUAGAGCAGAAGCUAUUAAAGAGGGUUUG